GACGUAGGAUGCAAGCGUUGUCCGGAAUUAUUGGGCGUAAAGAGUUCGUAGGCGGUGAUCUAAGUCUGGUGUUAAAGACGGGAGCUCAACUCCCGCAUGGCAUUGGAAACUGGAUUGCUAGAGUGCAGUAGAGGUUACGGGAAUUCUCGGUGUAGCGGUGAAAUGCGUAGAUAUCGGGAGGAACACCAGUGGCGAAAGCGCGUAACUGGGCUGCAACUGACGCUGAGGAACGAAAGCCAGGGUAGCGAAAGGG
rnacentral:rRNA from 1 species